rnacentral:lncRNA from 1 species
AUUAAUUUGGUUAAUUAAAUAUGUUUAAGCAUCUGUCAUGUUCCAUGCAACAUUCUAGGUGACGAGGACAUCACGGUCAAUGAAGCAAACAAGAAAGCUGCCACUGUGAAGGGUGCUGCUUGGGAAUAGAUUCCAAUGGCUGUAUCCUUUAGACCAAGAAUACUUUCAAUAUUGCUGCAAAGAACGACUUUCAAUAGUAUUGCCUGUAUUCUUAUUUGAGAGGCGAAAUAAAAAGUUAUCCUUUGCCUCCAUAUCUGCAAAUCCUCUCCAAGGUAAGAUCUUACAGGACUUCCCUCAAGACUCCACUCUCUGGAUUUAAACUCUUCACCCUCUACCCAAAAGCAAAAUACAAUAAAACAAACCUAUCCUAAGAUCUACUCUCCAAAGAAUGCUUAUGUUUCCCAG